AAAUAAGAAGCAAAAAUUGCAUUUAAUUUCGACUUAAAAAUUAGAGUAAUUAUACUCCUUAUUUA
rnacentral:tRNA from 1 species